rnacentral:rRNA from 1 species
CCUACGAGUGGCAGCAGUAGGGAAUCUUGCACAAUGGGCGAAAGCCUGAUGGAGCCACGCCGCGUGCAGGAUGAAGGCCUUCGGGUUGUGAACUGCUUUUAUAAGCGAGAAAAAUGAUGGUAACUUAUGAAUAAGGAACGGCCAAAAUCGUGCCGGCAGCCGCGGUCCUACGUCGGAGCCGAGCAUGAUCCGGAGGGACUGGGUGUUAAGAGUUUCGUAGGUGGGAUAAUAAGUAGCGAGGGGAAUCUGGUGGCCUAACCAGUCAGACUAUUGUCGAAACUGUCAAUCUCGAGACCGUUAGAGGUAAGUGGAAUUCGUGGUGUAGGGGUGAAAUGCGUAGAUAUUAGGAAGAACUCCGAUUGCGUAGGCAGGUUGCUGGGACGCUUCUGACACUGAGGCACGAAAGCGUGGGUAGCAAACAGGAUUAGAUACCCCUGUAGUC